rnacentral:rRNA from 1 species
GGAUGCGAUCAUACCAGCACUAAAGCACCGGAUCCCAUCAGAACUCCGAAGUUAAGCGUGCUUGGGCGAGAGUAGUACUAGGAUGGGUGACCUCCUGGGAAGUCCUAUUGUUGCAUUUC